rnacentral:SRP_RNA from 13 species
GCCCAGGUCGGCGACUUCUCCAUUUCGAGUGAGGAGGCGGACCUGCGCCUCGUCGCGAAGACUUGUACCGCGGAGGCCUUGGACGGGGAGGCAA